rnacentral:rRNA from 1 species
GUAGUCUGCAACCCGACUACAUGAAGCUGGAAUUGCUAGUAAUCGCAGAUCAGAAUGCUGCGGUGAAUACGUUCCCGGGCCUUGUACACACCGCCCGUCACACCAUGGGAGCCGGUAAUACCCGAAGUCAGUAGUCUAACCGCAAGGGGGGACGCUGCCGAAGGUAGGAUUGGCGACUGGGGUGAAGUCGUAACAAGGUAUC